GGAGUUUGCAGAAGUAAUUUGCUUCGCUCUUGGAUGUCUCCCCCAAUAUGGUAAGGAAGGCCACAAUUUGCGAACGAAACGAAUGGACCUCGUUCAAACAUGAUAAUUUCGGCGUCUUCACUUAAACGGCGUGCACGAGCAGCAGCGGAAGCCCCACCAGCUACACCAC
rnacentral:antisense_RNA from 1 species